ACGUAGGGUGCGAGCGUUAAUCGGAAUUACUGGGCGUAAAGCGUGCGCAGGCGGCUAUGCAAGACAGAUGUGAAAUCCCCGGGCUUAACCUGGGAACUGCAUUCGUGACUGCAUAGCUGGAGUGCGGCAGAGGGGGAUGGAAUUCCGCGUGUAGCAGUGAAAUGCGUAGAGAUGUGGAGGAACACCGAUGGCGAAGGCAGUCCCCUGGGAUAAGACUGACGCUCAUGCACGAAAGCGUGGGGAGCAAACAGGA
rnacentral:rRNA from 1 species